UGAAUCCUGCCAUAGUUUACAGUUAAGUAUUUGCAUCAUUUUCAUUUUAUUUAAAAAUCAUUUAUUUUCAAAAUUAUGUAUUCAGAUUGCAUAAAAUCAAUGUAAUUUUGAUCAAUGUGAAAACGAUUUCAUUUUAUUAGUUUAAGAGCAUGAGAUUUUUUUGCAUACGGUUUUCCGGAAAUGCCAAUCCAUACUCCAGUCGUUAGGUGGCGGUAUUGCACAUCAGGUAGAUGACAUUCACCUGCAAAAAAGCCUCAGAAGGAGCAGAUCAGCGCCAUCUCCUCACCACCUUGCUUUUGAACAGCAUGGAUCCUGACUAGUUUGCAAGGUAAAUAAAAUCUGUAUUCAGCCUAUAAAAUUUAACAGUAUUAAGCUUAUGUACAUGUGUUAUUAUUGUAUUACACGACGAUAUUACAAAUUAAAAUCUGAUUUUUUUAUGUAAGGCUAUUUUCGUAUUUUCCAGUAUGACCCACGUGUAUGGCGCACAUCCGACAUAAGUAAAUGGUGUUAGUAGCCUAUGGGAUAAAUUAAAAUUGCUUAAGAUAUUAAACAAACCGCGAAUUUCAGUAUAUUUUUCUCGUAUUCGAUCUUGAACUUUAGUUGUUGUAUUUAUGAACUCGCAACAUCGUGACACAGUUCAAGUUAACUUAACGUUAGACGUAUUACUUCUCAAUUUUCUGAUGUUGGCUUUUAAGAUUAACUUUACAUUACAUAAAAAUAUGCUUACUCUUUUUACUAUAACCAUGUAUCUUUUGCAGAUACCUCAAGAUACCUCAUCCUAAAUUGUAUUUGUGUGGUUGGACAACCUUCUAAAUCUUAUGUGUGAAUGUGGCCUUGUAAAGUGUGUGACAUCUCAGUAUCUUCUCGGAGACUUGGUUCCAGAGGACGAGCUUGCUUGGAAAGUAAUAUUAGACCUAAAGGAAAUUGUGGAAUUAGUGGUGGCACCUGUUCACACUGACAAGACCAUUGCCUACCUUUAUGUCAAAUUGUCUGAGCACAGACAGAGACUACUUGAGCUUGACCCAGAUAGAUCAUUUCAGAGCCUUUGAGUUGACUUCUUCACCAGGAAAAGAAAUAGCACUGGUUCAGCUUGAGGAACUGACUGACUGCUAUCCACUUGUGGCCUAUAUGGUUGGCUCCAAACGUAUGGUAACCCUAAAGAGACACAUCAUCAUCAAAGAUUAACAAAGCAGAAUGGCAGGACCAGUUAGAUUCAGAGUGCUUUUUGGAAGUGGAGAUGAUUCCAGAAAAAUCACCAUUGCAUCUGGAAUGCCGACGUCUGUGGAUGAAUUGGCUCUUCAAAUUAAGACUUUCUUUGGAGUUACAGAACAGUUCAGGCUUCAAUACCAAGAUGCAGACUUUGGAAAUUAAUUUAUGAACCUCACGUCAAUUUCAGACAUUCAAGAUUGCAGUACUUUGAAAGUUGUCUACUUGUCUUGUGAGGCUACUAGCUCUAUAAUAACAUCAGCUACACUCACUAAUGAUAUCCCCACAAUUCAAGUGAUUCCAUCUGAUGCAUCAACCAGCUCCUCAUAUGAACCAAGUGAGUCAGAAUCUGCUGAAUCCUCUUGCAGCAAUGAAACCACACUGUUGCCUUCUCUUGAGUCCCGAUCUUGCACUUGGCCUGCAGUCUUUGUUGUUCCACGCUUUUCAUAUUGUGCAGAGAUGCAGCUCCAGAAAGGAAAUGAUGAAUUCAAAGUAAAUGGAACUCUCAUGUCUCUUUCCCCAAAACUCAGAUCUGAUAUUCUUCAAGGCCUUGCAGAAGAAAUUAUUAAGUACACGGCAUAUCCAAAGGAUGAUCAGUUUGAACAAGUAGCUAAGGCCUUGAUU